rfam:Lupinus angustifolius cultivar Tanjil contig_39459, whole genome shotgun sequence.
UGUAAUUUAUGAUGUAACUUUAUGUCAUAUUGUCUGAUUUUGUAGUGAUUAUUACUUAAAUAUCACCAUCUUUCGGCUGAGAUUGCA